UAUGAUGCGAAAGAUGCCAUGGCG
rnacentral:siRNA from 1 species